UUUGAGAUUCAAAUGGUAUUGGCAGGGGGACGACGAGCUCAGGAUUCAAAUGCUUGGAUCUGCUGGUGGUGGGCUCCAGCUUGUACAAGUUGGAACAGAAGAGAUUUCUAGUUCAGUAUUUAGUUGUCUGAGCAUUAGUUCUGUAUUGAGAAGAGAUUUUAUGGGGUAAGGAAUUGGAUUGGGAGGCCGAAAUGGUUUUACAUCCAAAAUAUUUAAGAACAUGGAAGAGACGCGAGAUGACAUGGGGCCAACAGAACAAGGGCCUUCUAAUGCUCUGUGGUGGGGUUCUGAUUUUAUGGAGAAAUUUGGAUCUGUUUCUUUGCUUUCACAAGAAGAUUGUUUGAGUAAUAAGGA
rnacentral:misc_RNA from 1 species